rnacentral:snRNA from 1 species
GUGCUUGCUUCGGUACCAUGUACACUAAAAUGGAAGCAUACGGAGAUUAGCAUGGCCCCUGCGCAAGGAUGACACGCAAUUUCGUGAAGCAUUCCAUAUUUUU